rnacentral:lncRNA from 1 species
AUGGGAUAAAGAUGCACAAACAAAAGAAGAAAUUCAAAUGGAACAUCAUCUGAAUUCAUCAGAAUCAAUAUCAAUUACCUAAACCGAGACUGGAACCAUUUUACUGAAUGACUUGAUCGAUCGUACUAGAUAGAGAGCCUCAGAUGGACCAUAAACCUUUCAUAAGAAAUUCCUCGAUCCAUUCAGUAAUGCGCAAGAGAAAGCGAUCCAUCAGACUAGAGGGAAGUUGGUCUUUCUCCAUGACCCCCUUCGCGCAACUUCUCGCGUAAGGCCUUCGCUCGAAUGUCGUUCCCAGGGCCUUCUGCCAUAGGUUCCCCCUACUGAAAGAAGAAGACUUUCCGUUUCUACUUUUGCUUCUGAAGUCAGAUUGCAAUUUAUGCCCUCUGGUAUCCCGGCUGUCACCGACCCAUUUCAGGUCACACAAGGCUAAGCUCAUGGGAGAGGACUACCUCACUUGACUAGAAAAGCAAAGGGCAGAACGAAUCUCUAAAUCUCUAUUAUAUAAGAGAAUUCUUGUCUCACUUUCUCUCAAUCUAUUGAAAUGAAUAUCGUUUACUAAGAGAAUAUAUGAGCUCCGGUAGACUGAACUUCACACUUGACUUUCUUAUCGUUCGUCCGUUCCAGGUAUUACAAUAAGUAUGUAGCUCUUUCUCUUUCUCCUUUCAAGUAUUCAAUUCCCUUCAUUGGGGUAUAGAGUCCCAUAGCUGGGUAAGAAGUCAGAACUCAGCUACUCCUGAACUCAUUAACUCAAUAGCUAGGGAAGGGGUGUCGCCCCUCUUCUUUUCUUAUAAGAAUAAGGGUCUUUUUUCAUUCUAUUAUAGUUUUUCGGCUAAAAAGAGGAGAUGGGCUAAGGUGCAAUUUCUCAAAUAAAGUAAAGAGCGGAACUACUUCACUCUUAGCUCAUAAAAUCAUUACCUCAACAACUCGAACUCUUGAACAAAAGAAUGAAAAAAAUUGAAGAACUAUGGAGCUCCAGAAGAAGACUUUAUUUUCUUUCCAACAAGAGCUACCGCUGGGGGUCUACUAAUAAUAAGAAGGACCCCUCCCGAUAGGACGGAGGAGGAGGAAAGUCUGAGAGAGGAAGCCCUAUCUAACUCAGUCCGAGAGAAAGCUCUUUCAGUCAACUCUUUUUUUCCUAUAUCAUAUAAAUUCUAAACUAAGGAAGAAAUAAAGAAGAUUAUAUAAACCAAUAAGAGGAAGAGAUCGGGCUCGGACAUUGAAGCUCUAUCCUAAGAGUAAGAACACUAUAAAAAGAAGACCGAUUGAGUGGUUCGGCUACUCAACCUCGCCAGGGCAGGAGCCCUAGACAGUCUUGAACUAUCUCUACUGAUACAAGCCUACUCUUAACAGCCCUCAGCCUAUCGGUGGAUCUACUAUAGGUAUAUCUUUCAGAAGAUCAUUAUAGAGAAUGAAGCACGAAAUUGAAUAAGAGAAUCAGUCUAUCUCUAGCUCUCGCUACAUCUAGUUCGCUCGCACGCUCCGUUCGCUCGUUACUAGUAUUCCACUCGCUCAAGCAAGAAAGUGAUACGGAUCCAAUAGGGCAAAUUUCUAACAAUGGUAUAGAGCAAACUUAUGUCAUUCAAAUGGAUCUAAAAGGAGUUCAAAAUCAUAUUCAU